rnacentral:misc_RNA from 1 species
AAAGCACGACACACCCAGAACCGUAUGCAGAUACACAACAGGUCAAUGCGGAAGAGAACGCGUGCUUCGGGAUGAUAUCGUGGCGCUGAAGGGCAUGUUGUAGAAAGCGAGGAACGCCGUUGGGUUGCCAGCAGUCAACUGGAAAGGACGCUGAUCUUUUCAGAUAUGCGGCCCCUCUUCUUCCUCCCUGCCGACUUUCACCCCGACCUGCCUCUCGUCGAUGUUAUCUUGUGGAUGCGCACAGUGCGGGGCUGCGUGCUUUUUCCCUCUGCCUUGCGCUCCUCCUCUUUCCCAUGCUCGCUUGUUGCCUCAGUUGGGAGCUGACGAAUGGACCGUAUCCUGUGCGCGGACGCGUGUGGAAGGAUGCACGUGAAUCGGCCAGGCGCUUGACAAUUCGAUUGCAUGGCGUCACCCCUCCUCUUUUCGUGAGCGAGGCCGUCUGGGCGUGAAUGCAAGUAUUGUGCCACGUUGUGUCUGUCUGCGCUGGGAGGUGUCGAGGAGUGGAAGGGAAGGCGUGGGGAGGUCCGGUUCCAACUCAGAUGGGCGCAUGCGCGCACGCUGGUGUGCCUGUAGCUUAGCUUGUAUAUACAUAUAUUUUCGUUUUGUUUACAUCUCGUGUUGUUUUCGCUAUGCAAUGUUUUCUAUUUUGUUUUGCCUGUAUGCGUGUGCUGCCCUGUCUGCAGGGCCUUUAUCAGGGAGCUCUCGUGUGCGUGGUGAGCUUGCGCGCGUUGGGUGUCGGCCGCUGUCUCUGCGUGAUUGAAUCGCAUCAUGGGCUACCGGGUAGCGGCCACUAGAAAGCUGUUCUGUGUGUGUGUGUUUUCGCGUGUUGGGAUCUCCUCUGUUGGCCAUGCUCCCGCGUUUGUGUUCUCCCCCUGCUCUGCCCCCUUCUUUUUGAUGUGUUUUAGUUGUGUUUUGCAUGUAUCUCGUCUCUUUAUUUCUUCUCCCUCUCUGUCCCUUCUCUCUUUUUUGCUUUUUUCGUAUGUGUGUGUGUGUGUUUGAUUGCGCAUCCUCGCUUUUUUUUUCGUGUGCGUUGACAGGCUCUCUGCCUUCCCGCGUGUGCCGCGACGUUGCUGUCCUCUUCGAGAACUUUAUUGUCCUGCCGUUUGACAUCCAUGAUGAGCGGCCGACAACACGAAAAAAAGAGUGCCACCUACUCUCUCGUGUCGAUGUCGCGUGCACGAAGCGAAAAUGGAUGCACACACGCUGCCUGCCCGGCUUCCUUUCUUCUUGUGCGAAUUUUCGUCGCUCCCUCUGUAUCUCAUGACUUGGUCCUUGGCGUGGCGUCACGACAAAUCCGAUGCGUGUGGCAACUUGUAUUGCAUGUCUGUGCAUUCUCACGCGCACACGCUCUCUCUCUCUCGCUUCGACAG